AGAGAAUUCCACAUCCUUAUUGUUCUUUCAGUAAAAAAAACUUUCGUUUGCCUUAGACGAAAGAAUAUGAAAGAAUGAUGUUGAUCUUAUUGGAAGGUUGUGUUGUGUGUUUGAGGGGUGACUGUGUGUGUAGGAGGUUGACUGUGUGUGCAUAAGGGUGAGUCUGAAAGGGUGAGUGUAUGGGGUGUGUUGGGAGCUGACCAUGUUGGGGGUGAAUAGAUAUGUAUGGGGAGGCUAUGUCUCUCUGUCCCGCCUCCCCACACAGUGUAGUGCAG